UGAGCCCAGGAAGUCGAGGCUGCAGUGAGCUAUGAUCAUGCCACUGCACUCAAGCCUGGGCGACAGAGCAAGACUCUGUCUCAAAAAACAGGUAAAGCUGAGAAAAGAGGAGGCCUGUUCUUUCACUGGGUGGUUGUAAGCAGCCAUGCAGAAUGCCCAAGGUUUUCCAAAGAGUUUCUUCUUUCUGAAAGGAUCUGAGUCCCCAAAACUUUGGGGACUAGUCUCAUGGUUGAAGGCAUUUUUCAUGAGGGCAUAAUCCUUUUAUAAAAAAAUUAUUUCAUAAAACCUGCAAUUUAAAAAAUCUAAAGUGUAAGGGCAGCAAAAGUUAACAUUAAUUAAAACAAUAUGUUGGGAAUAUGGGUAAGCUAUAUUUCAUGUUUUUCUUUGCAUUGUGAAAUAUUUCCUAUGUGUAAAAAAGAGAAAAAAGGAAAAUAAACCUCACCUACGGUUUCUUCACAAAGGUCAGGCAAGAAAGAAUUAUUCAGGAACUCACCCAGGCCCUCCAGAGUGAGGUGCCCCCAGGGCUCCCUGGAAUGGCCCUAGCACGCACACGGCGGCCACCUUGGCGACCACAGUGGCGGCACGGGACUCUGUCUCUUUAGAGGCCCAGAUGGAGACAGUGCACCCCGAGUUGCUCAGGCCUCCCCUGAACCUGUUACAACCUUCACUAAAUCCACAACCACACACGGCUUCAUGGGUCCCACGUCAGCAAAACGUCCCAUGUCAGCUGCUUUCGACCUUCAUUUCUUUGCUUUCAGAGGAAAAAACACCCCAAAGACAGGUAACAAGUGUGACUUGACAGUACUGCGACAAUACUCCUGUUUGUGAAACUCGGAACACAAGAAUCUGGAGGCUGUGUCUCCAGCAAAUGUCCAGAGCGUACUGUUUUAUGUAUUCAAAAAAACAAAACAGAGAAAUAAGAAGAGGUCAAUAAAUGUCCCCAAAAACCCUGGAGAGAUACUAACUUUCAAUCUAAGAAAAAGAACAGCUUCCCAGGGCCCUGCCAGUGAGACACAAGGACACAGAAUGUAACUUGCUGAUGCCAGGUUAAAAUGAAAUUAACUACAUCAGAAAAAACCUCCGCAGACCAUCAAGAGAUGUGUCUAACGUUCUCAUCUACAAAACCAGGUUAAAUAUUUAGCCACACUCAUCACGUCAUCUGCUUGGGGGGUACCCAGCCCCCAAAGACUCAAGUGGCCUUCACAACAGGUGACACCCCUCAAGGGGCCUGAGACCUCCUGCCUGGAAGGACACCAGCCUUGCUUGGAGUCUCCGGCAAGCCCUGAGGAAGGUGAGCCUCCCCAAGGAAAUCACGUACGUUUGACACACAGCAGCAGCAAAUACUCACCGUGGAAAAAGAGCCUUCCCCAAGAAUUUUCCCAAACUUGAAGUCCUCAGGCCGCUUCUUCCGAGGCUGCGGCGGAGGCUGGGCAUGCUGCAGGGAGCCGGCGCCGGGCCGAGGCUCGGCUGCAGUGCCGUCCAUGGCGGGGCCCUGCCUGCUGCCACCAGGAAUGCCAGGGGGCGUGCUGGACUCAGUCUGGGUCCUCACCAUUGAUGGGGAUGGGCAGGAACAUAACACCACGCUGGACUGGAUGGGCACGGCGUCAUACUAGGCGACAAAGAGGAAAAGGAAGUAAGGCUCAAGGCAGCUGCCUUGCUCUCAAUGCACGGACUAAGGUUUAAGGACCUCAUUUCAACGCUCAAAAACAAACCCCAAGCACAGGGCAGGCCAGCUGAGCCCCGCGGUCUGCUGUGAGCUGCCGGCCUCCUCUCCUGAGUCCUGCCCGUGCCAUGGCUCCCCGCUAAUCCACCAGGCAGCGCCUCGCCCUCCUCCUGUCCCUCGCGCUGCCUGAGCCUCCAGCCAACUCAUCCCAAGGCCAAGGUAACCUGAGCAGAGAUAGCACGGCACAUCUUUAAUUGUGGGGGGGAUGGAGAGAUAAGAGUGAUGAUCGCAUGUGUUUACAAUACACAGAGACGCCCAGUGCUGGCAAGACUAUAAUAAAGCGAGCGUACUCACACCACUGCGGCUGGCACCAAAAACCGGGAUUGCAGUGGAAAUGUUUUUGGAAAGCAGUUUGGCAACUGUCAACAAAGCGACUACAGAACAGUUGUCAAUGAGACACAGAAAUACGAAGGAGAGGAGGGAGGGCAGAAACCCAGUUAACAAUGUAAGCGGGCACGGAGGGAAGAUCAGCGUGCAAAGCUAGGUCGGCAAGACGUGCAAGGUGCACCCACAGCCAUAACAAUCCCUCCCCAGACCCCAACGUGUCCUCACGGUGGUGGCAGUGGCCCCCCGCACUACAGAAGAACAAUGCGAGGCGAGCUCAGGCGCGCUGAUGGUGGUUUCCGAUACAACUCCCCACUCAAAGAACCCCGGAGAGCUCUUGAUUCCAUCUCUCAGUAGGGUCCUGAAGUCCAUGCUGUCUGAAGACACAGGGUCUCCCCCUGCGUCUGUGCCAGGACAGAGGGACUGCCACCAGCCAAGCUGCAAUCCUUUUAAACGCUAAAAACGGCCGGGCUUGGUGGCUCAUGCCUGUAGUCCCAGCAGUUUGGGUGGAUGAGGCGGGUGGAUCCCCUGUGGUCGGGAGUUCAAGAUCAGCCUGACCAACACGAAUAAACCCCUUCUCUACUAAAAAUACAAAAUUAGGCCGGGCACAGUGGCUCAGGCCUGUAAUCCCAGCACUUUGGGAGGCAGAGGCGGGAGGAUCACCUGAGGUCAGGAGUUCGAGACCAGCCUGACCACAUGGAGAAAUCCCGUCUCUACUAAAAAUACAAAAAAACUAGCCGGGCUUGUUGGCGCAUGCCUGUAAUGCCAGCUACUUGGGAGGCUGAGGCAGGAGAAUCGCUUCAACCUGCAAGGCAGAGGUUGCAGUGAGCUGAUAGCAUGCCAUUGCACUCCAGCCUAGGCAACAAGAGUGAAAUUUCGUCUCAAAAAAAAAAAAAAAAAAAAAUAGGCCGGGCGCAGAGGCCAAAGUGGGUGGAUCACUUCAGCCCAUGAGUUCAAGACCAGCCUGGGCAAACACAGCAAAACCCCACCUCUACUAAAAAUAUAAAAAUUAACCAGGUACGGUGGCAUGUGCCUGUCGUCGCAGUUAAUUGGGAGGCUGAGGUAGGAGGAUUACCUAAGCCCGGGGAGGUCGAGGCUGCAAUGAGCCAAGAUCACAUCACUGCACUCCAGCCUGGACGACAGAGGGAGAUCCUGCCUCAAAAAUAAAAAAUAAUAAGUAAAUAAAUAAAAAGAAUAUAUUCACUAUUUUGCUUAUCAAAGUCUCUUAAAGGAGGUGACUUACCUACGCUAUGGACCCAAUUACUCAGCCAAUAAGAGGACACGGUCCCUGCCCAUAGAAAGCUGAUGUCCAGCCUGACCUCAAUACAAAACCAUCCAGUUAAAGUGGUGGGGGUGGCUAUGCAGAGACGGGCGGGUGCCGGGAGAGUCAAGGGCAGCCCCUUGGCUGGCCAGGGGCUCAGACAGACCAGCUGGGGAGAUGCAUCACUCGCCCAGGAAAACUGAUGACAGCUUAGAUGGCACUGCAAGAGCAGGGAGGAUCACACUCAUGUCCAGAAAGUGAAACAUAAAACAGCUAAACAUGUACCACACAGCUUUCAUACAAAAAUUUUAUAUACACAAAUUUUGAAAAAAUAGAGAUGGGGUUUUGCUUGUUGUCCCGGCUGGUUUCGAACUCCUGAACUCAAGUGAUCUGCCUGCCUCAGCUUCCCAAAGUGAUGCAAUUACAGGCAUGUGCCACCAUGCCUGGUGACUUUUUUUCUGUUUUGAGACGGGGUCUCACUCUGUCUCCCAGGCUGGAGCUCAGUGGCAUGAUCAUAGCUCACUGCAGUCUCGACCUCCUAGGCUCAAGUGAUCCUCCCACCUCAGCCUCCUGAGUAGUGGGACCACAGGUGUGCACCACCGUGUCCAGCUAAUUUUUGUAGAGAUGGGGUCUCAUCAUGCUGCCCAGGCUGGUCUCAAACUCCAGGGCUCGAGUGAUCCGCCAUCCUUGGCCUCCCAAAGUGCUGGAUUACAGACCUGAGCCACCACACCAGGCUGCCCCACACAUUGUAAAGUUUCGCUUCCCUCUAAUGUCAGAUUCCAAAGACAGCAGCCUUCAUGAGUCAGAAAGAAACAUCGGUCAUUUUGAAAUCAACAUCCAACUGAAGUGUAGAAAGGCCUCUGGAUUUUUGAAACGGCAACAACAGAUGAUGUAAUACAAAGACGCCCCCACCCCACUGCUUUCCCACUGCAUGCUUUACAUGACAUGGCACAGCUUCCACGCCAGCAGCUUCAAUCAUGUAAAGCGAAUGCAGUCCCAUCAAGACCACAGCAUUGGCUGAGCAGCUACUCCAUGCUGGGCACCGUCCUGGGCACUGGAAGUACAGCAGAGAACGAAACCAAGACCACACCCUCCAGAAGCCUGCAUUCCAGCAGGACAGACAGACUUCCAUACACAGAGCAGGAAAAUGCACAGCGUGUCAGAUGAUGAUGAUUACUAUGAGAAAAAUAAAGCAGGCAAAGAGAACAGGACUAUUUGGAUGAGGGUGGUGCAAAUUCAAAUAAUCAGACAGCCUUUGCUGGGAAGGUGAUAUCUGAGCAAAGAUUCGAGAAGGUGGGGAGAGCCCCGGAGCCUUCCCCGCAGAGCAGAGGAGGCCCGGGAAGCUCUGGACUCAUAGCGGUUCAGCACGGCCACGACACGGCCACUUCCAGACAGAGCCCCUGGCUGCUGGGUAGGGACCGCAGCACCUCAGAGAACCCUUUCUGGGGUCACUUCUGGCACCCUCUGCAAACCUCAAGGGGGAGCGUGAGGCUGGGGGCUGUCCAUCAGGGUCCAGGCACCUCCUGAAGGAACCUCUCAAAGCCAGCCGAUCACCGGCUCCAGACCCACGCUGUCAGACAUCUCUGUGGCCACCAGACCACUGCCACUCUCACGGGUGUGAUGACAUGGGACCUGCCUACUGGUAGUCUUCUGCCUUCGUGGAAUUCUGCAACUUCCUUCCUGCCUCGGCCACAGCAUGUCAGCCAAGCACCUGUCAGGGUCCCUCCCUGGCAGGACGAUGUUUAGAAGCUCAACACCGUGCUCCUGCCUCCUCUUCAGACCCAUCAGAACUUGCUACCAUGGGUGUGUUUUAAUAAAUAACUUCAUUUCUGCAGCAAAUAAAUAAAUAAAUAAAUGUAGUUGCAAUAUUGCCUUUAAAAGCACUUUUAAGCAUCAAUUGUGAAA
rnacentral:lncRNA from 1 species